rnacentral:rRNA from 1 species
UCGGGGUGCAGCAGGCGCGAAAACUUUACAAUGCUGGCAACAGCGAUAAGGGGACCUCGAGUGCCAGGAUACAAUCUUGGCUGUCGCGAUGCCUAAAAAGCAUUGCAUAGCAAGGGCCGGGCAAGACCGGUGCCAGCCGCCGCGGUAACACCGGCGGCUCGAGUGGUAACCGCUAUUAUUGGGUCUAAAGGGUCUGUAGCCGGCCGGAUAAGUCUUUUGGGAAAUCCAGCUGCUCAACAGUUGGGCUUUCAGAAGAUACUGUUCGGCUCGAGACCGGGAGAGGUGAGAGGUACUUCAGGGGUAGGGGUGAAAUCUUGUAAUCCUUGAAGGACCACCAGUGGCGAAGGCGUCUCACCAGAACGGAUCUGACGGCAAGGGACGAAAGCUAGGGGCACGAACCGGAUUAGAUACCCGGGUAGUCCUAGCCGUAAACGAUACUCGCUAGGUGUCAGCCACGGUGCGACCGUGGUUGGUGCCGUAGGGAAGCCGUGAAGCGAGCCACCUGGGAAGUACGGCCGCAAGGCUGAAACUUAAAGGAAUUGGCGGGGGAGCAC